GCUGGUAUGGCCAAGUGGUAAGGCACUGCACUUGUAUCUAAUACGCAAUGCAGCGAUCGCAGGUUCGAUCCCUGCUGCUAGCA
rfam:Candida tropicalis MYA-3404 genomic scaffold supercont3.6, whole genome shotgun sequence.